rnacentral:tRNA from 1 species
AGGGAUAUAGCUCAGUGGCAUGGUGCCUGCCUGGCAAGCACGAGGUCCUGAGUUUGAGUCCCAGUUCCUA